GACGGAGGGGGCAAGCGUUGUCCGGAAUUACUGGGCGUAAAGGGCGCGUAGGUGGCUUCGUGCGUCGGUGCUGAAAGCGCCGGGCUUAACCCGGCGAGGCGUGCCGAUACGACGAGGCUUGAGGCAGGGAGAGGGUAGCGGAAUUCCGGGUGUAGUGGUGAAAUGCGUAGAGAUCCGGAGGAACGCCAGAGACGAAGGUGGCUACCUGGCCCUGGCCUGACACUGAGGCGCGAAAGCGUGGGGAGCGAACCGG
rnacentral:rRNA from 1 species